rnacentral:tRNA from 1 species
GGCCCGGUGGCGGAGCGGCGACGCGGAGGUCGUGCAAGAUCUUUGAGCCUGGUUCGAUUCCAGGCCGGGCCUCCA